CCUACGGGAGGCAGCAGUGGGGAAUAUUGCACAAUGGGGGAAAUCCUGAUGCAGCGACGCCGCGUGAGUGAAGAAGUCUUUCGGUUUUUUAAGCCUCUUUUGUAGGGAAGAAAAUGACGGUACCUGUCUCGGAAGCCCCGGCUAACUACGUGCCAGCAGGCGCGGCACUACGUCGGGGGCCAGCGUUAUCCGGAUUUAAUUGGUGUAAAGGGGGCGUAGUCGGGAGCGCAAGUCUGGUGUGAAAUCCCUUGGCUUAACCAUGGAACUGCAGUGGAAACUGGCAAGCUAGAGUGCGGGAGAGGUAAGCGGAAUGCGUGGUGUAGCGGUGAAAUGCGUAGAUAUUAGGAAGAACACCGGUGGCGAAGGCGGCUUACUGGACUGUAACUGACGUUGAGGCACGAAAGCGUGGGGAGCAAACAGGAUUAGAUACCCCAGUAGUC
rnacentral:rRNA from 1 species